GCAGUGAUGAUUCAAUGGUAGAAUUCUCUCCCUCCAUGUGGAAGACCCGGGUUCAAUUCCUGGCCAAUGCA
rnacentral:tRNA from 1 species